AAAGUGGCGCACGGGUGAGUAACGCGUGGGUAAUCUACCCCCGAGUUGGGGAUAACAUGCCGAAAGGUGUGCUAAUACCAAAUAAGACCACGUCCGCUUCGGCGGAUGGGGUCAAAGAUGGCCUCUGCCUGCAAGCUGUCGCUUGGGGAUGAGCCCGCGUCCCAUUAGCUAGUUGGUGGGGUAAUGGCCUACCAAGGCAACGAUGGGUAGCUGGUCUGAGAGGAUGGCCAGCCACACUGGAACUGGAACACGGUCCAGACUCCUACGGGAGGCAGCAGUGAGGAAUUUUGCGCAAUGGGGGAAACCCUGACGCAGCAACGCCGCGUGAGUGAAGAAGGCCUUCGGGUUGUAAAGCUCUGUCAAGUGGGAAGAAUAGGUCCGGUUGAAUAGGCCGGAAUAAUGACGGUACCACUGGAGGAAGCACCGGCUAACUCCGUGCCAGCAGCCGCGGUAAUACGGAGGGUGCAAGCGUUAUUCGGAUUUAUUGGGCGUAAAGGGCGUGUAGGCGGUCUGAUAAGUCAGGUGUGAAAGCCCCUGGCUCACCCAGGGAAGUGCACUUGAAACUAUCAGACUUGAGUACGGGAGGGGGAAGUGGAAUUCCUGGUGUAGAGGUGAAAUUCGUAGAUAUCAGGAGGAAUACCGGUGGCGAAGGCGACUUCCUGGACCGAUACUGACGCUGAGACGCGAAAGCGUGGGGAGCAAACAGGAUUAGAUACCCUGGUAGUCCACGCCGUAAACGAUGGGCACUAGGUGUAGCGGGUAUUGACCCCCGCUGUGCCGAAGCUAACGCAUUAAGUGCCCCGCCUGGAGAGUACGGCCGCAAGGCUAAAACUCAAAGGAAUUCUACGGGGCCCGCACAAGCAGUAGUGCAUGUAGUUUAUUUCGACGCAACGACGUAAGAACCUUUACCUGGCUUGACAUCCCCUUGACCGUCCAUCGAAAGUGGAAUUUUCCUCGGGGACAAAGUAAACAGGUGCUGCAUAGACUGUCGUCAGCUCGUGUCCUGAAUAUGUUGGCUUAGUCCCGCAACGAGCGCUACCCUCAUCUUUAGUUGCCCUAUUUGGUUAGCACCUCUAGG
rnacentral:rRNA from 1 species